rnacentral:rRNA from 1 species
GACGAACCGUGCAAACGUUAUUCGGAAUCACUGGGCAUAAAGGGCGCGUAGGCGGCUCCAAAAGUCAGGGGUGAAAUCCGGCAGCUUAACUGUCGCAGUGCCUUUGAUACUGUGGAGCUAGAGGGAGGUAGGGGUCUGUGGAACUUCCGGUGUAGCGGUGAAAUGCGUAGAUAUCGGAAGGAACACCAAUUGCGAAGGCAGCUCGCUGGGACGUUACUGACGCUGAGACGCGAAAGCGUGGGGAGCAAACAGG